AUUGAACGCUGGCGGCAGGCCUAACACAUGCAAGUCGAACGAGUGGCGGACGGGUGAGUAAUGUCUGGGAAACCGCCUGAUGGAGGGGGAUAACCACUGGAAACGGUAGCUAAUACCGUAUACCACCAGAUGCGCCCAGAUGGGAUUAGAUAGUUGGUGGGGUAACGGCGCACCAAGGCGACGAUCCCUAGCUGGUCUGAGAGGAUGACCAGCCACACUGGAACUGAGACACGGUCCAGACUCCUACGGGAGGCAGCAGUGGGGAAUAUUGCACAAUGGGCGCAAGCCUGAUGCAGCCAUGCCGCGUGUAUGAAGAAGGCCUUCGGGUUGUAAAGUACUUUCAGCGGGGAGGCGUUACCCGCAGAAGAAGCACCGGCUAACUCCGUGCCAGCAGCCGCGGUAAUUC
rnacentral:rRNA from 1 species